rnacentral:lncRNA from 1 species
AUGAUAAAAAUAUAUAUAUUUUUUAAGUAAUUAUUUGGUGUAAAACAUAUUUUUCUUUUUUUUUUAUAGGCAUGCAGAUCACUGAUCAACUUUAAAGCCAGAAUAUCUCAGCUGCAGUCGUCAGUCCACUGGAGUGACCGGUGUCUGAAGAAGAGAUUACCCUGAGAUCCCCUGAAAAUCUGAAGAUGAGCAAGACUUCUUGAAUAAAGAAUUACUGUGCAUCUAACCUAAACCCAGCUGAGAUGAUAGAAGGAGCCGAGAAGUGCUCAGCAGCUCUGGAAUUCUUAAAAGAUCCAUUCCUGGGGACCACCCUAUCAAACAAAAGAGUCACUGUGGAUCUGGAGCCCAGCAGAAGUCCGACAGGGCACAAUGUUCAUCACAGGCUUUUCGGUAUUCCGCCAGUGGUGUUCCAUCAAAGUGAAGGCCUUUCGCCUGCAGAACCAAAAAACUCUCCGUUCUGCCUGACACACACUGACAGCUCACCCCAAACCCACCUCCAGGGCACGGCCUCACACACCCGGAGAGAUCCAGCCAAUUAAAAACUCAUGAGACUCUAAUGUGUGUGUGUGUGUGUGUGUCCCUUCUGUCUCGCUCUCCCUGUCCGUCUCCUUUCUCGCAGGUGUGUUUUGUGGAAUAGGCUUGUUUGCCCCGUG